AGUGAACGCUGGCGGUAGGCCUAACACAUGCAAGUCGAACGGCAGCACAGUAAGAGCUUGCUCUUACGUGUGUCGAGUGGCGGACGGUUGAGGAAUACAUCGGAAUCUACUUUUUCGUGGGGGAUAACGUAGGGAAACUUACGCUAAUACCGCAUACGACCUACGUGUGAAAGCAGGGGAUCUUCGGACCUUGCGCGAUUGAAUGAGCCGAUGUCGGAUUAGCUAGUUGGCGGGGUAAAGGCCCACCAAGGCGACGAUCCGUAGCUGGUCUGAGAGGAUGAUCCGACACACUGGAAGUGAGACACGGUACCGACUCCUACGGGAGGAAGCAGUGGGGAAUAUUGGACAAUGGGGGAAAGCCUGAUCCAGCCAUACCGCGUGGGUGCAGAAGGACUUCGGGUUGUAAAGCCAUUUUGUUGGGAAAGAAAAGAAGCAGGUUAAUACCCCGCUGUUAUGACGGUACCCAAAGAAUAAGCACCGGCUAACUUCGUG
rnacentral:rRNA from 1 species